rnacentral:rRNA from 1 species
UACGUAGGGGGCGAGCGUUGUCCGGAAUUACUGGGCGUAAAGGGCUCGUAGGCGGCCAACUAAGUCAGACGUGAAAUCCCUCGGCUUAACCGGGGAACUGCAUCUGAUACUGGAUGGCUUGAGUUCGGGAGAGGGAUGCGGAAUUCCAGGUGUAGCGGUGAAAUGCGUAGAUAUCUGGAGGAACACCGGUGGCGAAGGCGGCAUCCUGGACCGACACUGACGCUGAGGAGCGAAAGCCAGGGGAGCAAACGGG